rnacentral:rRNA from 1 species
UGGGGAAUUUUGGACAAUGGGCGAAAGCCUGAUCCAGCAAUGCCGCGUGUGUGAAGAAGGCCUUCGGGUUGUAAAGCACUUUUGUCCGGAAAGAGAUCCUUGGCUCUAAUACAGUCGGGGAUGACGGUACCGGAAGAAUAAGCACCGGCUAACUACGUGCCAGCAGCCGCGGUAAUACGUAGGGUGCAAGCGUUAAUCGGAAUUACUGGGCGUAAAGCGUGCGCAGGCGGUUUGCUAAGACCGAUGUGAAAUCCCCGGGCUCAACCUGGGAACUGCAUUGGUGACUGGCAGGCUAGAGUAUGGCAGAGGGGAGUAGAAUUCCACGUGUAGCAGUGAAAUGCGUAGAGAUGUGGAGGAAUACCGAUGGCGAAGGCAGCCCCCUGGGCCAAUACUGACGCUCAUGCACGAAAGCGUGGGGAGCAAACAGGAUUAGAUACCCUGGUAGUCCACGCCCUAAACGAUGUCAACUAGUUGUUGGGGAUUCAUUUCCUUAGUAACGUAGCUAACGCGUGAAAGUUGACCCGCCUGGGGAGUACGGUCGCAAGAUU